GGAUUAGAUACCCUGGUAGUCCACGCCGUAAACGAUGAUUACUGGUUGUACGCGAUACACAGUGUGCGACUGAGGGAAACCAUUAAGUAAUCCACCUGGGGAGUACGUUGGCAACAAUGAAACUCAAAGGAAUUGACGGGGGCCCGCACAAGCGGAGGAACAUGUGGUUUAAUUCGAUGAUACGCGAGGAACCUUACCUGGGCUUAAAUGUAGAGUGCAUUAUUUGGAAACAGAUAUUUUCUUCGGAACUCUUUACAAGGUGCUGCAUGGUUGUCGUCAGCUCGUGCUG
rnacentral:rRNA from 1 species